UGCUUCAAAGAUCAUUGCUGUUUUGUUUCCCCAUGCCCUUACGGUCUGAUUCUGUUUACUCAGACUUUGAACAGGAAAAGGAGAGGUAUGCAGUUUGGGAGAAGGUGGGCAAUCGUUUUGCUUGUUGUUGUUGGGGUUUUUUGUUUUUUUUCAUUUUAGCAAGACUUCAGCCUCCUAUAAAUCUCCUGCUUUUCAUACAAGCGCCAGCUGGAUCCAACUCUUCCCCGCCGUAGCUGGAUAAGAAAACGUCUUCAGAAACCUUCCAAGGAACAGAGAAGAAACUGCCCAUCUGGCACCAACA